GUGGCCAAUUGGUUAAUUUGUUUUGCUUAACUGUACUUUGUUAGAAGGAUGCAUUCUCCUGGGGUAAGGGAAUUCUUGAGAAGUGAUAGUGAUAUGAAAAAGCAUAUCAGUAGAAACCUUUUUUUGGAAAGAAGAUGAAAAGGCUAGAGAAGGGCUUCUCUGCCCUCAAGGUUAUUGGGGAUCUUAUUUUUAUUUCAUCAUGUCCUACUUUUUGUGACCGUAACUAUCCAGAGGGUUUUCUUGGGAAGUAUUUUGGAGUAUUUCGUCAUUUCCUUCUCCAGGGGAUCCAGAGGAUUAGUGAUCCCCAAGUCCUAAAAUUUGGAGCUGGAAGGGACCCCGGAGAUCAGAAUCUGGAGAUUAAUAUCUCUAGAGUAAAUAAAGAAGAGAGAGGUCGAAAGCUUCAUCAGAAUCCAGAUCAACGUCCACAAGUAUCUGGUGGUCGCCAUCCUCAGCAUCCAAGUGGCCACUGUCCCCAGGCACCUGGUCAUCAUCUCCAGGUACCUGGUCACCGUCCCCCUGUUCCUUGUCAUCGUCCGCAGCAGCAGCAACAGAAGCAGAAAAGGCCUUCUCCGAAAGUCCCGCAGCAAACUGGCCCUCCUUUGCCUAGACCUAGAAAUCAGCCAAAGCCUCCUCACCAAGAAAAGGGGAAAUGAUAAUUAUUUCUCCUGAGGAAGUUUCCUCUUUGGUCCAUCUGUGAAUAUUUGUAAAAAGAUUGUUCCAAAUAAACAAUACUGCAGUUUUCCCUCUUCA
rnacentral:lncRNA from 1 species